GAGAGGGGGUAGGGGGGUGGGAGGGUGAGAGGCGCGUUUAAUACAACUGGACCCCGAUUGGCGGAUGCGUGCGAGGGGUUAGGGGUGAGAGGAAGACAGCGUUUUAUUCGAAAUUAUCCGCACUUAUCGUAUGAAUGUAUAUUUUUGAGCGAUCGUUUCCAUAAACGAGCGGAUAUAUUUAUUUAUUUAUUUAUUUGGUUUUUUUUUUAAAUCGCUGCAGGUUGUGAAAAAAGUUGAGCGCAAAUUACAACGUCGAAGAAUUUUUUUUUAUAUUUCUCAUAAGUGCGAAGAAUUUUUUUUAUUGUUUCUCUUCCUGUGUUGGUAGAUAAUUCGGUAAAUAAAAUUUUAUUGGUAACCGACAUUUUUUAUUUCCUAUUAGUAGUGAAUUAUGUAUUGACAUGCUCGGGUAUAUUGUGUCGGCACUAUGGGAACGGUCUGCGUGACAAUAUUUGACACUGUUAGACACGUAUAAAUAAACCUCGUCACGGGUGUUAAACAAUAAGGUACACAUAAUAUGCGUGAUAGCAUGCUACAUGUGUCUGGCGAGAAUGGAGGGAUUGGUUUAGGCGACUUAUCGUUUUGUCAUUCUGGUAGACACUGCCGGAACCAGCAGCGACAAGGUCCCGUAAUCAUGAACGUGUCAACUAAUUACGACAGGAACGUAAGUGUUAAGGGAUGAUUUAGCCCUGACAUCCCUCCCACUGGUGCGCAAAACAAUCAUCGACCCAGGAUUUUUAUCUAUCUCAAACCUUCUCCGGAGUGAUAAGCUAGUGAUAACGAAUUUCAAUGGCACCUUCCCCUCUGCGUAUGAAAAAUAGCGCGGGGUAAUUUCGGAAAAGUGAGUGUUUUUUUUCCUGAAAAAAAGCUCGAGAUGAAUAAGUGUGCUCUACGCGUGUCGUCGCUCAGUGAUUGGAAUAAACCCCUGGGGGACACUUUAAAUGGCCUCUUCUCGUGUGAAUGGUUUUUCUCACGGUUAAAACGAACGUCAGGUGCGCAAGGACCUACGCCUUCAGGAAGUAACAACGGUUCCUUACAAGGAUUCGCAACUUGUGUGCGUUAUAGACUCAUCUUUCUUCCCACGCUCUGAGACCGUUUCUAACGGACAAAAUUUCGAGUGUUUCUUGUUUAGUAAAGUGGAAGAAGUGAGGGACGAGGGAGAGAGAAAAAAAAAAUGAAGGGGGAAAGAAUCUCAGGCAAAAAAUGGCGGUGUGGUUUUGACAUAUGUGUUCAACUCCAUUUUUUUCCCCCUCUACCAUUCAAUUUUUUCUUCGUCUAUCUCAGGAAACUUCUAUUUUAAGAAUGUCCAAGUAAUUUGGAUAUUUUUUUCCUUCACUGAAAUCCAGAGCUUUUACUUGAGCCGCAAAGUCUUCCCCUGAUUUUAUUUUAAACAAUAAUAAUCCACUAACAUUUUUCGUCUUCAUUUCUCAACAAUUACUGUGUAUUAUAUUCAACUAAAUAAUUUUCUAUCGUUCGUCCCGACGAGAAUUCGAACAAUUAGUUCAAUUUAUCAAAUUCAUCAACAACGAAUGUUUCAAAAAAAGGUACCAUAAUUUAUUUGAUUUUUAACCUUUUUCUUAAUGACUAAAAUACUUGAACUGCAAUAUGCCCUCUCCUAAUCUAUAAACGAUAUUUAAAUUGUGGUAAUCGUCGUCAAAAAAUCGAUUAACGUAAACCCAUCACCGCAAACAAUUCAGUAAUUACAAACGAAUCAUUACCUAAAGUUCGUUUUAAUUGCACCGUCUCGACAUAAGUCGGCGUAACAACCUAUUGGGCCCAAUUGGGUCAGUAUCUCCGAGCCACGUGUCUGCCACGCUUAUCCCCCAGGGCUUUAACACAGAUCCAUCAGGUUGACCGUAUCCCCCCCUUCCCCUGUUGCUGGGUCUGGUCAGUGAAAUUAGGUCCCAGAAAAUGUGAUUUUCAUUCGAAUGGAUUAUUCACAUUUUUUAAAAAUUCUUUUGCAGUUCAUUUAAAUUGAUAACGUGUUGUCAUUGACAUUCAUCCCUGUGUUCACGGGAAAAUGAUUUAUUCCCCAACAGUAGGUGAAAUGCGGUGAUUUGACAAGGGCAGAAUGACAAGGGCCAGAGUCCAGGGCCCCCACUGUAUCAUUCUAAACAUCAGGUUGUUACCUAUUAGAGUCUACUUAGGGGUCAGUGGAGACACCCGGUGCGCUCGUUGGGCGUCAGUGUCCAUAACGAUGAUGGUCCGGGCCCACUGACGUUCAUUCAAUUCCCCUCCCCGUUAACCCCAGACGGAAGGUGUACACGGGUGCCGGAUGAAUGCCCCGUGGGAACAGAACGCCCGCUAGUGCAAACGAUCCGCCAAGCGUUGCAGGAAACCCUCACUCCCACUAUUUUUUUUUUUUAAAUCCCUUAAUGUUGUUAUGGCGCUGUGAUUUUUGGCGCCAGUCAGCUUGUAAUUAUUCAAAUUUACUGGGAUUUUUUUAACGGUGAAUGGAAACGUGACAAUUAUUAUUCAUUAACCCACGAUAAAUUUCUGUGAUUUUAAAAUUGUCAUUAAAUUAUUUUCAUUAUGUGUGGAAUUUAUAAUUAAAUUGAAUAAGUGAAUUAUUGGCUGUGACCAGAGCCCCCCCCCCCAUUCCAUCGAUUCGUGCGUGCGAAUAUUCGGGUUUUUGGAACCACAAUAAGUCAAAAUGGCAAAAAAUUGAAUUAAAUUUGCGAAAAUGCCUCCGGGAACAAAGGGACCAGAAUAUUUUUAGUGUUUCUAAUCUCGCAAUUAAUUCAAACGAUUGAGUCACUUUGAAAGUGACCAGUCACCCAUAAAUAAUGAUCUCAAGUUAAUUUAUCUGCCUCAUAAAUAAUUGUCAGGGGAAAAAAGGCCCAUACACAAUUCACCAUUCACAAAAUCCAAAUAAUUACGUAACAGUCCAUGUGGUGCUUUCGCGUUCCAUUCAAUCGUCGAUUUCCUAUAAUUUAAUAUUCAUGAAUGGAUACGCAUAUCCGGCGUGAAUGGGAUUCUAUCACGUGCACUCACCAUUUUACAUGAAUUUUCUGUAAUUACGUGGAAUAACAAGAUGAGCGGCCAAUUUUUUAUUUUGGCCCAUCGAAUUAUGGGAGCAUUAAAAAUUUCAAAAUUAAGUUAUUAUCUCAAAGUUCAUUUAAAAAUGUCGAUGAAACUGAGAAAAGCUUUUGGAAAGCGCGCAAAACAUCGUUUCAUUCAGAAUUUAUUUUUUAAUUUGAAAAUUCUUCUGGGAAAUAAUUAAAAAAUAGAAAAUAUUAUUAUGUAGUUUAUAGUAAUUUAUAGAUUUUUGAGAAAAUGUCUCGAGUUUAUUGGAAAAAUUCUCUCAACUCGCAAAAACUAAUUUUUUUUAACAGCAGAUUCGUAAUAACAUCGCCACACGCGCACACCCGAAGGGCCUAAUGCCCUCCCCCACUCGUCUCCACCCCCCCAUUGCAUGCCCGAGUGAAUACAGAAGGUUAUAUACAUGUUUGUGCGUUGAAACGCACAAAUGGAGGGAGUCAAAGGUGGAGAGGGGAAGAGAGUGCCCCUUUUGCUACCUCCGAAUGGCCUCCGAGGCUACCGUGAGAACGAGCUGAGGCAUCGCGUCCCACACGCGGGGCCCUUCAGCCGGCACGGGGCCCAAUAGGGCCCACUGUAACACAUACACAGGAUAUACAAUUGACUUGGUGUGGGUUUACCACGUGAGA